rnacentral:lncRNA from 1 species
CAAACCGACAAUUCUGCUUAUCAGUAACUAGUCCUGAUAUAUAUUAAAUGUCCAAGAGGGGAUCCAAGUUGCUGUGCAGACCAAACCACUCCCUCCAACAGGCAUCUCCUCCACACAUCUCGCUGCUUGGAUCAUCUGGUCAAUCUGGAUUGCAAGGAAUCAAAAAAUCUUUUAAAAUCGAAUCUUCUCGGGGCAAGACACACUACUCAAAGCUCUUACCAGCGCAAGGGAAUGGCAAGAGGCUCAAAGCUACGACCUAAGAACACAAUCCCGCCGCCCCACUCCGCAGAUCGAAGGCCACUCUGAUGCAAUCAUAUGCAGAUCUGACGCAGCCUGGCGAUCUGGAAUAUCGACAGCCGGUUUAGCGUGGAGCUUCUACCGCGCAAAUGGAGAGAUUAUUUUAUCUCAUAGUAAAUCAACCUCUUUUGUGAUUUCGUCUCUUUUGGCAGAGGGAUUAGCACUGAGAGAAG